UGGGGAAUAUUGGACAAUGGGGGCAACCCUGAUCCAGCAAUGCCGCGUGUGUGAAGAAGGCCUGCGGGUUGUAAAGCACUUUCAGUAGAGAAGAAAAGCCUAGGGUUAAUACCCCUGAGUCUUGACGUUACCUACAGAAGAAGCACCGGCUAACUCCGUGCCAGCAGCCGCGGUAAUACGGAGGGUGCAAGCGUUAAUCGGAAUUACUGGGCGUAAAGCGCGCGUAGGCGGCUUUGUAAGUCGGAUGUGAAAGCCCCGGGCUUAACCUGGGAAUUGCAUUCGAUGCUGCAGAACUAGAGUAUGGUAGAGGGAAGUGGAAUUUCCGGUGUAGCGGUGAAAUUCGUAGAUAUUGGGUGGAACACCGGUGGCGAAAGCGGCUCUCUGGCUCGGAUCUGACGCUGAGGCGCGAAAGCGUGGGGAGCAAACAGGAUUAGAUACCCCCGUAGUCC
rnacentral:rRNA from 1 species